rnacentral:tRNA from 1 species
GCCCAUAGGCCCUUAAACAUA